rnacentral:rRNA from 1 species
GAUGAACGCCGGCGGCGUGCCUAAUACAUGCAAGUCGAGCGAACGGACGAGAAGCUUGCUUCUCUGAUGUUAGCGGCGGACGGGUGAGUAACACGUGGAUAACCUACCUAUAAGACUGGGAUAACUUCGGGAAACCGGAGCUAAUACCGGAUACUAUUUUGAACCGCAUGGUUCAAAAGUGAAAGACGGUCUUGCUGUCACUUAUCGAUGGAUCCGCGCUGCAUUAGCUAGUUGGUAAGGUAACGGCUUACCAAGGCAACGAUGCAUAGCCGACCUGAGAGGGGGAACGGCCACACUGGAACUGAGACACGGUCCAGAGUCCUACGGGAGGCAGCAGUAGGGAAUCGUCCGCGAUGGGCGAAAGCCUGACGGAGCAACGCCGCGUGAGUGAUGAAGGUCUUCGGAUCGUAAAACUCUGUUAUUAGGGAAGAACAUAUGUGUAAGUAACUGUGCACAUCUUGACGGUACCGAAUCAGAAAGCCACGGCUAACUACGUG